AAAGUUGAAAACGCAGUGAUUGAAGACGGACUUGGCGAGAAUUUCUGAAGACAUUGUGGUUCUGACCGAAGAAUUGCAUGAAGCGUCAUAGGAUGGCAUUUCUGUCGGGUUACCUUCGAUUUCUUCUCGUGGAACAACAGAGAGAGAUGCAGAUGGAGCUCGUGUUGUGGCGAUUGACAUAGUAGAUGAGCUACACGAAAGGUGACGAUUGUAUGUCUUAAGAGAAGCUUCACAACGGUGGCCACUCAUAUACAUUAUCUGACGUGACUCGAAUCCCUGAUCACUCAUGGCUGUUAUUGAUGUUGCGCGCAGACAGUGAGGUGUGUAAGUGUUCAUGCAUUUGGAUGACUUGCAAAUGUCGGACAUGAAGCCACUGAAUGAUCUCUUUGCUAGAGGUUUUGAUGUAUACCAGAGAUCUGCACUAGGAUUAUGCAGUGCAUCUUUGAAACAAGAGUUGAACAAACUAAGAGCACUGCUGUCUGUCUUAGAGAGAAGCAGACGUAGCAUUUUAACUGGACAGAUCUCACUCUCAGGAACCUCAUAGAUUCUCUUUCCAGAUGGAGCUUCUUCUGAUCGAAUACCCCCCUGGAAGUUUUUCUGUUGUGUUUCGUGGCAAAGAGUUACAUACUGGCGAUUGUUCUCAUCCUUUUGAAAAAGAAAUGAGUCUGUUCGCAGUUGAUGGUGGAACUCUAAUCCACGCGUAACAAGAUGUAUAGACAAGUGAUACCACACACAUUGUCGAAGAACAAUUGGAUUGUAAGGAGCGGAAAGGAAGUAAGAAGAAAUUCGUUCAAGGUCUUCAGGAUGAAUGACAGAUUUGUGGUUGGUAGCCCUUGAUGCACCAGUUUUCGUCAUUUCUUUGAGCAUUCCAUCCAAUGUAUGGUUUGCUGAUUUGAAUUCCUUGUCUCGAACAAUAUCCAUGGACCUUUUAAGGUCUUGGAGGUACCGAUUGAUUGCCGAACGGAUAGAUUUUAAAGAAUUUUUGUGGUAAUUUUCAGCUUGUACAUCCGUCAGUUCUUCUGAUCUUUUGGAAGUUGAUUUCGGUUUGGCUUCACAAUAAAAUCUCCUUAAUUUUGUCGCGAGGACCUCUGGACUGACAGUUUUGAAAUCAAGGACAUCAGAAAAAGCCUCCAAGUGCCAGUCUAUAAAUUUUAAAUGAAUUAAUUGUUAUUAUUGUUUUAAAUGUUGUUUAAUUUUUACUGUUUAUUAUUUUGUUUACAUUUUUGAAAUUGUUUUUCAUUUGUUGGUUUUGUUUGUAUUAACGUUGUUUGAUUUGGUUUGUUUUUUUAUUUCUGUUAUUGUACAGUAGUACAAUCAAAGAAAAUGAUAUGCCUUUGUGCUGGUCAAUGUUUUGUUAUACAUGAAUUAAAUCUGUAGAACAUAC
rnacentral:sRNA from 1 species